UGCCGUGAUCUAGAUUAAGCUACCACUAACAGUGUCUGUGCGACUGUAACUCACUGUCAACUUGCUGUUGGGUCAGGACCUUGCCCUGACAUCACGUGUGCUGGUCGCUUGGAGAUCAGGAGGGUGAAGAGGAGAGCCCCGUUCAAAUGCCUUUCUGCUGUGUCCUCCAUCACUGGAGUGCUAUCAGUGGCCCAGAACUCAGGCCUUCAGCUGCUGUGCAAACUCACAAGGCGACUGCUUCUUGGCGAGCCUGGCCCCCUUCCCACCAGGAUAGCCAGCUCUCUUCCGGAGCAAUAAACCUCACAUGAUGCCGAACCUCUGCUCACUGUCACUGCCGCUGCGUGACAUAAUAACUUCCCCAGGGUUUUAUGUGCUGAAGCCAGCAAGGGACCUGUUUGCCUGAUUCAUGGACAAUCAGCGGAGCCAUCACUUUGGGUCAGGCUAACCCACCCUUCUCAGUGGGUUGGCUGAGCCGGGACCUUGCAGGACCUGAGGCACUCCACAGGAUUGAAGUCUUGAUCUCCUCUCUCCAUCUGGACCAAAAUUGUAUCUUUCCAAGAUGUGAGACAUCCGGUAGGGACUCUCCAAAGGGAGGGAAGUUCUUUUCGAAGCGUUAAAACAGCCAGACUCCCACCCCCCACCUCCUCCAAGAUCCUUCUCUGCUACCAGAGAAUGGCCAGCAGCUGUGCCUUUGGGCCAGGCCUUCGUAGUAGGGAAGCUCCACAUAG